rnacentral:rRNA from 1 species
AAGUCGUAACAAGGUCUCCGUUGGUGAACCAGCGGAGGGAUCAUUAUCGAGUUAUUCAACUCCCAAACCCUAUGUGAACUUACCACUUGUUGCUUCGGCGCGCGCUUCGGCGCCGCCGAGGACACUUAAACUCUUUGUUUUUAUAAGCAUUUCUGAGUGGCCGAAAGGCAAAAAUACAAAUGAAUCAAAACUUUCAACAACGGAUCUCUUGGUUCUGGCAUCGAUGAAGAACGCAGCGAAAUGCGAUAAGUAAUGUGAAUUGCAGAAUUCAGUGAAUCAUCGAAUCUUUGAACGCACAUUGCGCCCGCCAGCAUUCUGGCGGGCAUGCCUGUUCGAGCGUCAUUUCAACCCUCGAGCCCGACUCUUUUGAGGACGGCUCGGCGUUGGGGGACGGCAGACUCCCCCCGGCAUCUCGCCGGGGACGCCGCCCCCGAAAUCUAGUGGCGGCCCUCCGAGGCGACCUCUGCGUAGUAACUUGUUCUCGCACCGGAAAGCUCAGAGCGGCCACGCCGUAAAACCCCAACUUUCUUCAGGUUGACCUCGAAUCAGGUAGGACUACCCGCUGAACUUAA